UUAGAGCAGGUCGGAACCAGUCCUCCUCUAGUCUGAUCGGGCACGUGGACAGUGAGAUUUGCCCGGUUAAAGGUCCUCUUACGCCCAUGGUUCUCAGUCGCUGCAUCAACUUCAUCAGAAUACAGAUUCCCAGUCUGACAUUUAUUCAAGAUACACAGUAUUCCAGGAGAGUUGGGUGCAAACUUGGAUUCGAGAACCUACGGUCUGUAUUGUUUUCAGGGCUGUCCAGAGACUGCUUGGAGAAAAAGCAGGCGAGAGAGACUGAGUAGAAGGGAGUUUCUGGCCGGAUGCUAAGACAGCAGGUCUGAACAGCACCCAUGGAGUGUCUUGUACCAGGAAAGGAGGGCCCUGGGCUCUCAGCUUCUGUGCAGCUUCCCUUCAAUGGCCCAGUCCAUAGUGGAUGCCUGAUCUUCAUUGCCAAGUUAAGGAGCUGAAGUUAGCUGGGACACAAGCCCCUUGGUGUACCUAUCCAUGAGGUUGCACCCUGAGAGGUUUGACUAAGCUGGGAAGACCUCCCCUGGAUGUUCAUGGUACUAUUUAAGAGUCUGGGCUCCUGUGCUGAGUGGAGAGGUGUGAACUUCUCAUUGGUGUUCGCCUUCCUACUCCUGACUAUGGCUACAAUGCCACCAGCGGUCUCCUGCUCCUGUUCCACAGCUAGGGCUGCCCUUGCCAUCAAGCCUGCCCUGCCAUGAUCUGUAUCCUCGGACUGUGCACCAAAGUAAGACCUUUCUUCUGUAAGUUGCUUCUAUCAGAAACAGGAAAAAUAAUGAACUCA